UACGUAGGUGGCAAGCGUUGUCCGGAUUUACUGGGCGUAAAGAGCGUGUAGGCGGCCCGGUAAGUCCGCUGUGAAAGUCGAGGGCUCAACCCUCGAAUGCCGGUGGAUACUGUCGGGCUAGAGUACGGAAGAGGCGAGUGGAAUUCCUGGUGUAGCGGUGAAAUGCGCAGAUAUCAGGAGGAACACCAAUUGCGAAGGCAGCUCGCUGGGACGUUACUGACGCUGAGACGCGAAAGCGUGGGGAGCAAACAGG
rnacentral:rRNA from 1 species